UACGAAGGGGGCGAGCGUUGUUCGGAUUUACUGGGCGUAAAGGGCGCGCAGGCGGCGCAUUUUGUCAGGCGUGAAAGCCCCGGGCUUAACCUGGGAACAGCGCUUGAGACUGGCACGCUCGAGUUCGGGAGAGGAUGGUGGAAUUCCCAGUGUAGAGGUGAAAUUCGUAGAUAUUGGGAAGAACACCGAUGGCGAAGGCAGCCAUCUGGACCGACACUGACGCUGAGGCGCGAAAGCGUGGGGAGCAAAGCAGG
rnacentral:rRNA from 1 species